AUUGAACGCUAGCGGGAUGCUUUACACAUGCAAGUCGAACGAGUUGCGGACGGGUGAGUAAUAUAUCGGAACGUGCCCAGUAGCGGGGGAUAACUACUCGAAACCGUGGCUAAUACCGCCUACUAUUGGAGCUGCCGAGAUCGGAUUAGCUAGUUGGCGGGGUAAAGGCUCACCAAGGCAACGAUCCGUAGCUGGUUUGAGAGGACGACCAGCCACACUGGGACUGAGACACGGCCCAGACUCCUACGGGAGGCAGCAGUGGGGAAUUUUGGACAAUGGGGGAAACCCUGAUCCAGCCAUCCCGCGUGUAUGAGAAGGCCUUCGGGUUGUAAAGUACUUUUGGCAGAGAAGCGGUAUCUGCAGAAUAAGCACCGGCUAACUACGUGCCAGCAGCCGCGGUAAUUC
rnacentral:rRNA from 1 species